UUGCAGUCAAUUAAGCUGACUGUCCUUCCUUCCCCAUGGGGGCCUGGUGUGCAGUGGCUGCAGACAGGGGCUGCUUUUAUGGGCUGCCUGAAGGGACCUUGGAGACAGCC
rnacentral:snoRNA from 1 species